GUGCAGUUCCCCCCACUACAGAAGAAAGGAUUUAAAUAGGGGUCUCCCACUCUCUAGGUGCUCUAACCACUGAGCUAUGGUAUAUUCUGAUGUGGAGC